CCUACGGGAGGCAGCAGUGGGGAAUAUUGCGCAAUGGGGGAAACCCGUGACGCAGCAACGCCGCGUGAGUGAGGAAGGACUUCGGUCUGUAAAGCUCUGUUAAUGAGGAAAAAUGGUAGUUGGUCUAAUAGGCCGAUUAUUUGAUGGUACUCAUAGAGGAAGCACCGGCUAACUUCGUGCCAGCAGCCGCGGUAAUACGAAGGGUGCAAGCGUUGUUCGGAUUUAUUGGGCGUAAAGCGCGCGUAGGCGGACCUGCAAGUAAGAUGUGAAAUCUCGAGGCUCAACCUCGAAACUGCGUCUUAAACUACAGGUCUAGAAUCUCGGAGGGGGAAGGGGAAUUUCGCAUGUAGGGGUAAAAUCCGUAGAUAUGCGAAGGAACACCAGAGGCGAAGGCGCCUUCCUGGACGAGUAUUGACGCUGAGGCGCGAAAGCGUGGGGAUCAAACAGGAUUAGAUACCCUGGUAGUCCACGCUGUAAACGAUGAACACUAGGUAUUGGAGGAUUUGACCCCUUCAGUGCCGUAGCUAACGCGUUAAGUGUUCCGCCGUCGGAGGUACGGUACGCGACGAACUAAACCUAACGAAACGGAAGUUAGUACGGACGNGAGACGUAGCCGACGGACGACGACGAGGGAGGUAGG
rnacentral:rRNA from 1 species